rnacentral:rRNA from 1 species
UACGUAGGGGGCAAGCGUUGUCCGGAUUUACUGGGCGUAAAGAGCGCGUAGGCGGAAGCUUAAGUGUGGUUUGAAAGCCCCCGGCUCAACCGGGGAAUGUGAUUGCAAACUGGGCUUCUUGAGGGGGAUAGAGGAGAGUGGAAUUCCUGGUGUAGCGGUGAAAUGCGCAGAUAUCAGGAGGAACACCGGUGGCGAAGGCGGUGGUCUGGGCCGGCACUGACGCUGAGGAGCGAAAGCGUGGGGAGCGAACAGG